AUGCCAGCGUGCGAACUUUUCUUUGUUGCUUUGGAAAAUGUUUGGAUUCGGGCUCCGGAAAGAAGAGGAAAGAAAGAAAAGGAAAAAAGAAAAAAAAAAAAAAAAAAAAAAAAGCCGGGUUGCGAAUAUUCAGCAAGUACUAGAAAAGGGGGGAAAACCCAAACACGGCCAGGAUCGGGGCACCAAGAAAAGUCAGGAAGGUGCCGCGCACCAGGCGGGAGACUGGUGCAUGCUUUCCUCCAGGCUCCUUGCUGCUCCCGACCCGCCGGCCGCGGGGUUCCCAGCUCCGGAGCCGGCUUCUUUUCUUAUUUGGGGGGUCUCCUUGACUCUACUGGAACAGGUCAGAAGGGAAGAAGAAGAGGGAAAAAAGGCAGAAAAAUUAAAACAAAAAUGCCAGGGGCGGCCUGGGGCAAGCCAGCGAAGCGGCGCGUCUGGGUCCCUUCGGAUGCGGUGUCUUCCUGCCCGCCGUCAUCCCCAGUCUGCCGCUGCGAGCGCCGAGAGCAGCGCGAGCGCUGUGAAGAUGCGAGGAGGUGGAACAAUGAAUUUAUAGCGGCAUGCCAUCCUGCAAUGGCAAUUUCAACAAUUCGUCACUGCAAGCUGCCUCUUAAAGGGAGAGCUUCCCCCAACACUCCCACCCUUCCUGGUCCGCGCCUAAUCAGAUGGGGGAGGGCGGGCCUGGGAUGGGGUGGGGGGGUUGAUCGAGGAAAGGGCGACCGCGGAGGAGGAAGGGACCCGGCGAGGUGGAAGGAGGGAGGAGGGAGAGAGCAAGGGCGAAGGGGGAGAAAAAAGUAUUUGAGGAAGCAAAACAGAUUUCCUUGGCCUCAUUUAAAGCCACAGCGGCUCGGGGUUUGUCUGAUAUUUCACAACCAAUGGGGUUGGCUAACCUCGGCUUACCUCAUCUCCAGAAGGGGUGUUUUUGGUGUGCUUUUCAAGUUACUGAGACGUUUCAAGUCUCUCCCUGCCUCCUUCUCGCCUGCUUUUCUUUCCCUCGGUAGGAAGUUCCUGCCGCAAGUUUUUUCCCCUCUCUCUUUGCAGGCCGGUGCGCGCCGGCCUCGCAGACCUUGCAGCAGCGCAUCCACCAGCCAAGGGCUUUCGGCUUCCCGUGCACCCCCUCGCCCUGCGCUCCCGGUACCAAUCUCCUCCCUCCACAUUCCCCAGACUCUUCGCUGUCGCUUUCGGAUGCCCGCUAGGCUAGGGUUUCGGGUGACUAACUUCUCCCAGCCUCCAGCAGAGGGGCCGGGCAGCUGGCGCGCCGCUGCGGUGUCCCCGGGCAGGGCCGCGGGAGGCCUGGGAACUCCUCGCCUUUGUGUGCUAGCCGUGCGCUCCCCCCUUUCUCCAGCGCGCGUUUCAUCCGCGCCCGCAAUCUGUCACUCAAUCCCAGAUGACUGGAACUUCCUUUGCUUUGCUUGCUGA
rnacentral:lncRNA from 1 species